rnacentral:lncRNA from 1 species
CACAAGUCCUGUGUGAGUAAGACUCCAAAUUAUUCUGUCUUGUUUUACUCAAUGGUAUGCUCUACCUUAUUAUAGAGUAUACCAUGUAUUGAGACAAGAAUGCCAGUCAUUCUGAGAAACAAAAUGCAACCAUUAGUUGUCAUUUUAAUUAGUGACGAAUAGUUGUGUCAAUCAUCAAACAUGCUUGUAUAAUUGGAUGAGAAGAGGUGUAACACGGGCCAAUGAUGACGAGGUUUCGGGAUUAUAAGUCACGGACGAUGACUACGUCACUAGAGGUCUGAGGUCCAUAGCAGAAGAUGCCUCAUGUGACCCUCUCAUGCAGGGGUUGCAUGUCAGGCAUGUGCAUACAGUAGAUAUUAGCCAUGCACUCUCACCAUUUCAUAGUAGAUCACAGAAUCAAGAUACAAAUCUCCAUGCACGGAAAGGAUUUAAGGCAUUGAUCAAUCCUGAACAUAAAUAUUUGGCCAUCAAUGAUAUUUACGCACACACUGAAAAAUCUAUUCAGAAUGACUUACACAAAGGUUUAUAUAACCUUUAUCAAAGGUAAUUUAUAUAGUAAGAUUCAUGGCUGAAGUCUUCAUGAUGGUCAAGGCCUUAAUUUUUAAAAUUAUCAAUUUUUUUCUUUUCUUUUUUUUUAACUUGAAUUUUUUUUUAAUGAAAACUAUCAUGACAAUUUGUCUCUUAAAUGAAAGGAGAAAUGUAAAACUAAAUGGACAAAUAUCAACCUUUUUAUUAUCUUUGCUGUUGUGCCCUCCCUGGAUGGGUGCUGGCACAUGAUGUCUUGCCUGCUGGUCCGUGGUUGCACUCUCACCAUGUGGAUGGAGCUCGGCAGCUGAAAAUGCAUUCUUCCACCAAGAUGAUUUACACAGCCUAGCUGGAUCAGGAGCCCCCUAAUAAGCUGCUUCAGAUUGUAAUAUAGACACAGUGUAAGUACAGUCCAUAUUCUGCUGUCGCUUCAUGUUGCAUUUAAAGGCCAUUUACUGUAUUGAUAAGGGCACUAUCUGUUUUAGGAAGAACAGUCAAGUAAAGGCUGCGUAUGGCAUGUGUUUGACGCACAAGGUUUAAUGAAGUUGUUUCAAAUUAAGGAUAUGUAUUGAAAACUGCUUCAUAACUCAAAAAGAAACUGAGGAACUCUGAAGUUUACUGGAAUCUCUUGUCUUUAGUUUUUUGGUGUUUUUUUGGUGGUUUUUUUGUUUUUGUUUUUGUUUUUUUUUUUUGUGAAUCACAAUGAUCCCA